UGCUGUAUCCCAGAGUGAUCAAGACGGAUUCCUUCCCCACGCGGCAACAUUCCGUGUCUCUGUUGAGUAAGCAUUUAAAGACACAGACGCCAUCAGCUACAAAGGGUGAAAAAAAAAGAAAGGAUUAGGAAAACCCAUUUUGAGCAUUGUAAAAAGGUUCCACAACGCCAUUCCUCUAUUUCUCUCAUGUUCUCAAGGCUCUCCAUUUCUUUCUACUUAAUAGAAUGCCUCUUGAGACGAUGUACCUGAUCAAGUGCGGAUGGAUGUAUAUUCAAGGACGUUCAUCUUAGAGUUGUUUACUCAUAAGAAAAUGCAGAGAAGAGGAGUCCACCAUCGAUCCUGAUGCUCAGAGUUACCUGGAUGUUUGCGUCACCUCACCUCUGUCCGGAUCGCUACCCUCUAUUUUCAUCGUGCCGCAUCGCACAGCUCCCUACGACAAGUAAAAGCAAAGAGGAAGAAGACAGACAGAGGCAUUUCAAAAUUUCUCCAUACGUGAGCUCUGAGAUCCUGUUUUCAAAACAAUGCCUUUUAUUUCAUAUUUUGUGCAUAAAUCCUUCGGCAAGAACCUCCAAUACGACGUUGAAUACAACUGGUGAGAGCAAACACCUCUGCGUCACUCUUGACCUCGGGGGGAAAGUUUUCAGUGUUUCCCCGGUAAGUAUGAUGUUAAGGAUUUUAAGCAGUAUACUGAAGCAUUACAAGAUGGGAAGACGUGGAAAUGAAGGUCAAUAACUGAGAGAUCCACUCUCUCUGCGUUAUAAACCAAGGUCAAUUAUAUCAUCAUUGUAUUUAGUGUCUGUUAUGUCUUUCAGUAUGUUGUGUCUCUCCACACCUAACGGUCUCUACAAGGAAGAGGCAGUUCCUAGGCUCCUGCUUCCGGUAAGAUCACUUAUCUCCCAGCCCCCUACACCACCUCCGCGGAAAGACAAAAGCAGUAGUUCCAUCACCAAGAGAACAGUUUCCAAGAGGUCUUUGCUAUCACACCACCAGGGACCACAGAAGAGAAUAAUGACCCAGUGGCCCCAUACUUCCCGUCUAGCUGCCCACUUCCCUAACAUUCAGGAUUUCCCCCAUCAUGCCUCACGCUCCUGUUAACCUCACGCACUACUAGAAUGGCAAGCCCCCCAGGCCAUUCGUUUAUCUGACCCAGCAUCCCAUAAUUCCUUGACCUCCAACACCCUUAUACCAUAUACCUGUUCUUUCCCUCCAUCACCUUGAUCUUGUAUCACAAGUGUCCCUCAUCCUCUUUUAUAUCAGAAAUCUGGGGGCGCCUGGGUGGCUUGG